GGAUGCGAUCAUACUAGCAAUAAAGCACCGGAUCCCAUCAGAACUCCGAAGUUAAGCGUGCUUGGGCGAGAGUAGUACUAGGAUGGGUGACCUCCUGGGAAGUCCUCAUGUUGCAUUCC
rnacentral:rRNA from 1 species